rnacentral:rRNA from 1 species
CUUAAGGGUUGUUGUAGACUACGACGUUGAUAGGACGCAGGUGUAAGUGCAGUAAUGUAUGUAGCCGAGCGUUACUAAUAGCCCGUGACUUUUCUGAAA